GGGAGGGGGGUAACUGAUGCAAAUAACAAACAUAAUUUAAAUUUCAACAGUGCAUAUCAAAGAUAGUGAAUAUUGUAUCUGGCCUUUGGACACAAAACAUAAAACUGCAUGCUCAUAUUUUCUUAUGACAAUGAAUUAUUUUGUGAGAUUUCAUAUCUGCCUAAUUACCCUCUAUUUUCAUGUAAAGAUGGUAUGAUCCAGCUCGCAGAAGAAAAACGAUUCCAAUGGAGCCUUCCUCCCUUUGACUGGAAGGUUCCACUCACUGCAGAGGGGGUUCUUAUGCAUGUACCAGGAGUCUGAUGUUCAUUGUAGCAGAAUUGCAGUGCACUGGACUGUACAGAACAGUGUAGCAUUCACUGUGUAUGAGGGGUGGGGUUCAGCUACACUAAAAUCACAAACACAGGCAGAUAGAGGGUGAGAGAGCGAGAGGGAGAGAAGAGGAGGGAGAGAAAGCACCUGAAGAGGAAUACAACAAGGGAUGAAAGGAGACACCCCAGUGAACAGCACCAUGAGUGUCGGCCAAGCCAGGAAGCUGGUGGAGCAAUUGAAGAUUGAAGCCAGUUUCUGCAGGAUCAAGGUAUCAAAAGCGGCUGCAGACCUGAUGGCAUACUGUGAUGCCCACGCCAUUGAGGACCCCCUCAUCACCCCUGUGCCCACCUCAGAGAACCCAUUCAGGGAGAAGAAGUUCUUCUGUGCACUCCUUUGAGACAAACCACAGGAUGGUUGGGAAAAACACUGUCCAGACAGAACAUAACGUACACUGAGUAUACCAAACAUUAGGAACAUCUUCCUAAUAUUGAGUUGCACGCACCCGCCCCCUGCACUCAGAACAGCCUUAAUUCGUCAGGGCAUGGACUCUACAAGGUGUCGAAAGCAUUCUCCACAAAUGCUGGCCCAUGUUGACUACAAUGCUUUCCAGAGUUGUGUCAAGUUGGUUAGAUGUCCUUCAGAUGGUGGACCACCCUUGAUACACACGGGAAACUGUUGAGCGUGAAAAACCCAACAGCGUUGCAGUUCUUGACACAAACUGGUGUGCAUGGCACCUACUACCAUAUCCAGUUCAAAGGAACUUUUUGUCUUGCCCUUUCACCUUCUAAAUGGCAUACAUACACAAUCUAUGUCUCAAUUCUCUCUUUAACCGGUCUCAUCCCCUUCAUCUACACACUGAUUGAAGUGGAUUUAACAAGUGACAUCAACAAUGGAUCAUAGCUUUCACCUGGUCAGUCUGUCAUGGAAAGAGCAGGUGUUCUUAAUGUUUUGUAUACUCAAUGUACAUGCAUUCACCACAUACACAAAGCUAAAUAUAACUUAUUCAUGUAGCCUGCUUUAUCUUAUGAAAGGCUGCAUAUGUACAUAUUCUCCUAAGUAAAAUCAAGACUAAUUCAACCAAAAUUUACAUUUAAAGUAGAUCUACAUAAACAACCAUUAAAAUAUAUUUGGAGUUAUGCGUAUACAUACUUAAAACACAUUGAACCUUAUAGAAUCAUGAACUGUAGCACAACAUAAAAGUGGAUAUACAUAUGUAAAACAGCUCAUAGUCCUAUCUCAUUUUUCAAAUAGAUGGAGGGGUGACAACUACACAUGAAUUGUAAUUAUUUGGAACUUUUAAUACACACUAGUCAUUGCCUAAUCUGAGUUUGUUAAAAAAAUAAUAAUUGUGUGUGAUGUGUUGAAAGUCCUGUAUGUCACUUUAAGCUGUUGCAGAAAUGUGCGUGAGGUGUAGGCGCCACUGUGGACCAGUAGGACAGUAAGAGGACAAGUCAAUACACACUAACCCAAAUAAUUCCACUGGCGCUGUAUGUACAAGAGGUGGUCAGCCGCCUUAACAAGAUCAGCGGUCUAUAAUGACGGGUUUCCAAUAACAAUGAUCAAUGUUGUUUUGAUAAAUAAGUGGUUUAAUUUGUCAAGUGGAUGUCUAAGGCUAUAUGACAUUAACAAAAAUAAGCAGUACAUUUAAUAAAUACAUAACAGCGAUUUGUAUGGUUUUCUUUGAGACCAGUUUUUUUGGUUGCUUAUCUGAUCAAGUUCAGAAAUGUUAUUACUAUUUUUAGAUCAGUGUUCCUUAAACCUUUACUGUCAAUAUUUCUUACCAAAGCAAAUUAAGAGCUUUGAAUAAAAGGGGACUUGGGAAUCAAAGACAAAAUUAAAUACUCCUGUCACCAAAAUAUUUUUGCAUGUAAUUUAUUAUUAUUAUUUUUUUCAAAAAACAAAACAAAGUCAGAAUUGUCCAGAUCUUGCAGUUGUUUCUUUCAAAAGAAAAAUAUAAAAACAUGCUUUCACAGUCAAUAUGCAAAAACAUGAACCAGUGUUUCAGUAAAACCAUCCUUCAACGAUUAAACAGAGAGCAACACAAGUAUGCUCAUAAAUUAAUUCCUGAAACAGUGCUACUUACUGUGGUUUUACGUCAGGCUUUCAUUUGUGUGAAGAUUGAAAAUGAGGUGAUUUGUAGUAGCUAGCUUCUUAAUCCGCAUGCACUGCUCCACAACUCAAGGUACAUUGCAGAUAAAUGUUGCUUUUGCAUUACAACGUUAAGGCAUUCCUUCAACAUCUCUUAAAACAAACACAUAAGAUAACAUGGAGCAAUUACAAAUGUAAAUCUUAAAACUGCUUCCUGUAAACUCAGAUGUAAAAUUAACAGUGCAACAUCUUAUAGAUAUAAAAGCCAUGUGGUGUCAAAUGGUUUAAAAUGCUACUAAUUAAUUUAGCGACAAGUUCAUUUAAAUAAAUGCAGGGGCAAACUGUCAGAAAGUUGGAGAUAAGUACAAGCAUUAGUUAUAACUUUAUGAAGGGAUAGUAAUUAUAAAAAGUGGUUAUUUGACAGAACAAAAUUGAAAUAUAAAGUGCAGGAAAACAAAUUAACUCAUCCAAGGCUUCUGUACGGCCAAAGAUAUUAAAUCAUAGGAAAGGUCAGGAUUACGGAUCUACACAGUUGGGUGAAACAACCCCAUGGAUGACUGCAGCAAGGUACGUCUUACUAAUUUUUAAGCAUCCAUAGGUCUCUGAAUUGUGACUCUAGUAUAAAAUAACCAGGUGUUACAAUGUAUGACUUUGCUUAACUGCCUCAUGUGCAGUGUUCCCAUAUGAGGUGAAAUUUAAUGUGAGACCACAAGUAAAUAGAUGUUUGGGAUAACGUUAUAUAAAACGGGAAAAAACAAAACCUUCUCUACAGGAAAGAAUCACACCAUUCACGCAGACAGCCAUAGCAAUCACCCUGCUGUUUGACAUUGGCCCCGCAUGAGUCUUUCAGCCAGUCCCGGAAUAGCUCCUCAUCCUUCUUCAGCACCAGGAACUGACCCAGGACCACAUAGGCCUGUAGAUGUAUGCAAAUGAGAAUGGAGUAGGAAAAGUGUAAGAGAACAUGAAUGACAAUACACUAACCUAAACACUUGGUAAAAGUUGCACAACUGCAUUGUCUUCUUGACUUUGCUGUACUUACUAUGACAUGCCUAAAAUGUAGAAAUUCACAAAACAAAAGUUCCAUUAUGAAAGUUCCAACAAAGUUAAGUAAACUCUGCAUCACCUUGUCGAAGCCCUUCUCCUCCAGUCUCUUGCCAAGCACCUCUCCAAUGCCAGCAAGUGCAUUGACUGGCUUCUCCCCCAUGGGUUCUGCCACAAACUCUUUGUGUUUCUGGGAUGUUGACGACAUGGCUGCUUUCUGUCAGUGAACACCUUAAGUACCUUCACACAGGACACUGAAUAGAAAAUGAAGCAAUUUACUAAAAUGUUUGGUUAUUAUUUCACCUUUUUCAUUUGAAGACGUUGAAGCAGAGGCACACAAUUUAUCAACACCAAUAUGGUGUAACCAUAAAACAGGAAACCUAAUCAUAUUUGGUGUAGCUGUAUCCAUGAUUCACAGUAGUGUCACAAUUUGUUUAGAACAUACAGUAUUUGGGACUGGAGUGCCCUAUGACCCCAAAGUGACAUUAUCAACUAAUAAAACUGAAACCAAAAUCUUUCCAUGUUACCCAUAACACCACCCAGAGAGAACGAGCUCUAAGUGUUUUGUUGGAGCAUGUGUCGAUAAUGAUAGGAUCGAAAGAAAGGGAGUGCUGCUCUUGGAUCAACCUUCUCCAUUCAAAUCUUACCUUAACAUUAUUUCAUUGACGACGGAUCAGCUCCUAGAGGGUUAUCUACCACCUACGGUUGUAAAUAUUGAAGCGGCUUAUUUUAAUGCUUACCCAAUCGGCACAUCUUUUUAUACGCCGCUUGUUUGUAUCAAUUGCAAAGACAUUGGCAACUUUGUUUGUAGUCAACUUUGUUUUUAAGUUAACGCUGUCAGAGAUACAAAAUAAACCAUGUAAUUAUAUGUUCAGCGUAGCCUUGAUCAUGACUGUCAGUUCCACUACGUUACACACGAGUCAUAGGACAAAAUGUGUUUUCUGUAUGGGGCUGUUUUGUUAAGACCCGCGAUGAUCGGUCAAACAUUAACACGUAUCGCUUGUGGUACGGUUUUGGAAGCGUACGGACCUUAUUUCAUAUCAGUGAGAAAUAAUUUUAUAAAAACAAAAUGGUUAAAUUGAUACACACCUUUAUAGGAUUAGGGUUCCCACACAGCUAUAUUUCCAUGUUACAGCGCUUGUUUACGGAAAACAGACGGAAGACUGAGUAGACUACCUGUGCUAAUUAGCUAUCUGCAUCUCCAAACACCUGUGUAUAAACGAUACAGACGCCACAAAACAUGUCACUGAAAAAGUGUCGGCUGCAACAGUUAAAACAGUGUACCGUAAGUUUGUAUUUUGAAUUGUGAAAUUACUUAUGUGAUAUGAAAGUAGAGGUAAUUAUGUUUCUAGAACCGUAUCACAAUUGUGAAUAGAUUCACGUUUAGAUGGAGUAUUUGGGGUUUGUGGCUUCCAGAGCCAUCCUUUAAAACAGAACAUGUAAGGCCCUUGGACUAAGGUAACAUUAGGCUCCUUUACAGAGCCGGCUCUAGCCUAUCGCUGGCCCUAAGAAAGAUUUGGUUGGGGGGGCCCCACCACCGUGUCAAAACAUUUGUUUGAGUUUAUUUUUGUGCAGUAUUAAAGCUAAUUUCCU
rnacentral:lncRNA from 1 species